rnacentral:rRNA from 1 species
GUCGAACGAGUUCUCGUUGAUGAUCGGUGCUUGCACCGAGAUUCAACAUGGAACGAGUGGCGGACGGGUGAGUAACACGUGGGUAACCUGCCCUUAAGUGGGGGAUAACAUUUGGAAACAGAUGCUAAUACCGCAUAGAUCCAAGAACCGCAUGGUUCUUGGCUGAAAGAUGGCGUAAGCUAUCGCUUUUGGAUGGACCCGCGGCGUAUUAGCUGGUUGGUGAGGUAAUGGCUCACCAAGGCGAUGAUACGUAGCCGAACUGAGAGGUUGAUCGGCCACAUUGGGACUGAGACACGGCCCAAACUCCUACGGGAGGCAGCAGUAGGGAAUCUUCCACAAUGGACGCAAGUCUGAUGGAGCAACGCCGCGUGAGUGAAGAAGGCUUUCGGGUCGUAAAACUCUGUUGUUGGAGAAGAAUGGUCGGCAGAGUAACUGUUGCCGGCGUGACGGUAUCCAACCAGAAAGCCACGGCUAACUACGUGCCAGCAGCCGCGGUAAUACGUAGGUGGCAAGCGUUAUCCGGAUUUAUUGGGCGUAAAGCGAGCGCAGGCGGUUUUUUAAGUCUGAUGUGAAAGCCCUCGGCUUAACCGAGGAAGCGCAUCGGAAACUGGGAAACUUGAGUGCAGAAGAGGACAGUGGAACUCCAUGUGUAGCGGUGAAAUGCGUAGAUAUAUGGAAGAACACCAGUGGCGAAGGCGGCUGUCUGGUCUGUAACUGACGCUGAGGCUCGAAAGCAUGGGUAGCGAACAGGAUUAGAUACCCUGGUAGUCCAUGCCGUAAACGAUGAAUGCUAGGUGUUG